UUUACAUGGCAUCACCCCCACUCCAAGAAUUUCCUUAAGGUGAACUGCUGUUUAUUUCUGGAAGGUGCAGCCUAGGAACCCAUGUUGAAUUAUAUAAUUU